GUCCCGUUCGUCUAGUGGCCUAGGACAUCGCCCUCUCAAGGCGGCAGCACGGGUUCAAAUCCCGUACGGGAUG
rnacentral:tRNA from 1 species